GACGAACGCUGGCGGCGUGCCUAAUACAUGCAAGUAGGACGCAGUUGCGAACGGGUGAGUAACGCGUAGGUAACUGCCUAUUAGAGGGGGAUAAAUCUUGGAAACGAUAGCUAAUACCGAAUACUAGUAAAUGGACCUGCGUUGUAGUAGGUAGUAGGUAGGGUAAUGGCCUACCUGGGCAACGAUACAUAGCCGAACCGAGAGGGUGGGGGGCCCCCAUGGGACUGAGAAACGCCCCAGAGUCCUACGGGAGGGAGCAGGAGGGAAUCUUCGGGAAUGGGGGGAAACUUGACCGAGCAACGCCGCGGGAGGGAAGAAGGUUGUCGGAUCGUAAAGCUCUGUUGUUAAGGAAGCGGUACCUAACUAGAAAGCGACGGCUAACUACGUGCCAGCAGCCGCGGUAAUUC
rnacentral:rRNA from 1 species